GAAACAACUUUUGAGGUGCAUAAACUAUGACCAACAUCAGUGGCAGCUUUGUGGCGAUUUGAAGGUUGUUGCUCUCUUGCUUGGUCUGCAGACUGGAUACACAAAGUACUGCUGUUUUCUCUGCGAAUGGGAUAGUCGUGCAAGAGAGUCCCACUACAUCAAGAAAGACCCGCCACUCCGACAGUCAUUGGAGCCUGGGAGGAAAAGUGUUCAGCAUCCACCACUUGUUGAAUCAAGGAAGAUUUUGUUACCACCCUUACACAUCAAGCUGGGUCUGAUAAAGAACUUUGUCAAGGCCAUUGACAAAACACAAGCAGCUUUUAAGUACCUCCGUGGAAAAUUUCCAAGGUUAAGUGAAGCUAAGAUAAAGAAAGGUGUCUUUGUUGGUCCUCAGAUUUGUGAACUUCUUCGAGAUGAUGCAUUUGACCAUGCACUGCGUGGCAAGGAAAAGACAGCAUGGAAAGCCUUCCAGUUAGUGGCAAUAAAUUUUCUCGGAAACAACAAGGCAGACAACUACAGGUUGUUGGUGGAAAACCUCCUCAAGGCAUACAAAAGCCUUGGUUGCAACAUGUCACUAAAGAUACAUUUUUUGCACUCUCAUCUAGAUUUUUUUCCACUGAACUGCAGAGCAGUGAGCGACGAGCACGGCGAGCGAUUUCACCAGAACAUUGCAACAAUGGAGAAAUGCUAUCAGGGCAAAUGAAGCCCAUCAAUGCUUGCAGACUAUUGCUGGACAGUGACAAGAGAUGCUCCAUUUAAUGAAUACAAGAGACAAGCCAAGAAGCGCCGAGUAGACACUGAAUAGGACUGAACUAUGUACAUAAUAGUUUUUUGCCUUUUGUUUCAUAAUACACUUUAUUUAUAUAACCCGUUUGCUGAUUUUUAAAGUGUUACAUAAACAGGACAGGUGAAAUAUUAUCAUGUAAAGCAACCACAAACACAUGAAAAGACCUAGGUUUACAAUUUAUGAUUAAAACUCUACUAUCUACACAAUAUACAUAGACAUAAAAUGUAAAAACUUAAAUAUCUUAGAAACAAUAGCGAAUCAGUUGUUUUAAUU
rnacentral:lncRNA from 1 species